rnacentral:piRNA from 1 species
UACCUUCAGACUCUGUCUCAUUUCUUUCUA